UCUGAAACAAAAUCUGUAGAUUCAGGAGAAUCAGCUGCAACAACCAUUUCUGAUAUGUCUUCAGAGGAGACUACACAAAGUGCAGAAACUCUUCGAAUCACUGAUUAUUACUCCACCACAACACCAGGUAGGAUUCAUGUAUCCCCACUGCUCUUCUUUUGUGCUUCUCAAAAUUUCGGUUUGCGUUGAGUUCAGUAAGUCUGCUCCCAAAUAUUUUUAAUAGGA
rnacentral:lncRNA from 1 species